rnacentral:rRNA from 1 species
ACCGUGUGUCUACAAGUAGUCAAAGCACAUUAAAGUGCAAUGGCGUGCCUUUUGUAGAAUGAACCGGCGAGUUACGUUAUCUAGCGAGGUUAAGUCAGAAAAGACGGAGCCGGAGCGAAAGCGAGUCUGAAUAGGGCGGAUAGUUAGUAGGAUUAGACGCGAAACCUUGUGAUCUACCCAUGGGCAGGUUGAAGCUCUGGUAACACAGAGUGGAGGACCGAACCGGUUGACGUUGAAAAGUCUUCGGAUGACCUGUGGGUAGGGGUGAAAGGCCAAUCAAACUGGGAGAUAGCUCGUACUCUCCGAAAUGCAUUUAGGUGCAGCGUCGUAUAUAAGUUUAUUAGAGGUAGAGCUACUGAUUGGAUGCGGGGGUUUCAUCGCCUACCAAUUCCUGACAAACUCCGAAUGCUAAUAAAUGUUCUACGGCAGUGAGGGCAUGGGUGCUAAGGUCCAUGUCCGAGAGGGAAAGAACCCAGACCAACAGCUAAGGUCCCAAAAUAUAUGUUAAGUUGAAGCAACGCGGUUGGACUGCAUUGACAGCUAGGAUGUUGGCUUGGAAGCAGCCAUUCAUUUAAAGAGUGCGUAACAGCUCACUAGUCGAGCGGUCCGGCAUGGAUAAUAAUCGGGCAUAAACAUAUUACCGAAGCUAUGGAUUUGUACAUAGUACAUCUGGUAGGAGAGCAUUCUAUUUGCGCUGAAGCAGUACUGUGAGGUAUUGUGGAGCGGAUAGAAAAGAAAAUGUAGGCAUAAGUAACGAUAAAGCGGGCGAGAAACCCGCUCACCGAAAGACUAAGGUUUCCUCAGCCAUGCUAAUCAGCUGAGGGUUAGUCGGGACCUAACGCGAACCCGAAAGGGGUAGUGGAUGGACAAUGGGUUAAUAUUCCCAUACUUGCUCACACUAAAAAGGGGACGGAGUGCCGUACUUACUGGAGACUGACGGAAUAGUCAAGGCCUAGCCUUCGGGCGAAGCUGCUGUAGGGAAAGUGCUUCCAAGAAAAGCCGAAGUGAAGCAACCCGUACCAAAACCGACACAGGUAGUCGAGGAGAGAAUCCUAAGGUGCUAGAGUGAAUCAUGGUUAAGGAACUAGGCAAAAUAGUCUCGUAACUUCGGGAGAAGAGACGCCAUCAGCAAUGGUGGCCGCAGUAAAGAGGCCCAGGCGACUGUUUAUCAAAAACACAGGACUCUGCAAAAUCGAAAGAUGCAGUAUAGGGUCUGACACCUGCCCGGUGCUGGAAGGUUAAGGAAGGUGCUUAGGGUUAAACCGAAGGCAUUGACUGAAGCCCCAGUAAACGGCGGCCGUAACAAUAACGGUCCUAAGGUAGCGAAAUUCCUUGUCGGGUAAGUUCCGACCUGCACGAAUGGCGUAACGAUGGCGGCGCUGUCUCCACCCGAGACUCAGUGAAAUUGAAAUCGCUGUGAAGAUGCAGUGUAUCCGCGGCUAGACGGAAAGACCCCGUGAACCUUUACUAUAGCUUUGCACUGGACUUUGAAUUUGCUUGUGUAGGAUAGGUGGGAGGCUUUGAAGCGUGGACGCCAGUUCGCGUGGAGCCAUCCUUGAAAUACCACCCUGGCAACUUUGAGGUUCUAACUCAGGUCCGUUAUCCGGAUCGAGGACAGUGUAUGGUGGGUAGUUUGACUGGGGCGGUCUCCUCCUAAAGAGUAACGGAGGAGUACGAAGGUGCGCUCAGACCGGUCGGAAAUCGGUCGUAGAGUAUAAAGGCAAAAGCGCGCUUGACUGCGAGACAGACACGUCGAGCAGGUACGAAAGUAGGUCU